AGCUGACAGACAUCGGCGUAAAGAGUGGUUAGGAAAUAUAAAUUAAACUAGAGCCGAAUGCUUCCAAGGCUGUUAUACGCACCCGAAAGCAAGAAGUACAACAACGAAAGUGGCCCUAUUAAUUCUGAACCCACGAAAGCUAAGGCACAAACUGGGAUUAGAUACCCCACUAUGCCUAGCCCUAAACAUUGAUGGUCCCCCCACUUAAACCAUCCGCCAGGGAACUACGAGCAUUAGCUUAAAACCCAAAGGACUUGGCGGUGCUUUAGAUCCACCUAGAGGAGCCUGUUCUAGAACCGAUAACCCCCGUUCAACCUCACCUUUCCUUGUUCAACCCGCCUAUAUACCACCGUCGUCAGCUUAUCCUGUGAAGGCCUUUUAAUAAGCAAAACUGGCAAAGCCUAAAACGUCAGGUCGAGGUGUAGCGUACGGAAAGGGAAGUAAUGGGCUACAUUCCCUAUCCUAGGUAAUCACGGACGAUAUACUGAAAUAUAUAUCUAAAGGAGGAUUUAGUAGUAAGAGAAGAAUAGAGAGCUUCUCUGAAACCGGCCCUGAAGCGCGCACACACCGCCCGUCACUCUCCCCAAGCUCCCACCAACCCCAUAAUUAAUUCACCAACUUUGCUAA
rnacentral:rRNA from 1 species